AGGAUUAACGCUGGCGGCGUGCCUAACACAUGCAAGUCGAACGAGGUAGCAAUACCUAGUGGCAGACGGGUGAGUAACGCGUGGUCAACCUACCGUUGAGUGGGGGAUAACUAGCCGAAAGGUUAGCUAAUACCGCAUACGUGUCCGAGGGGCAUCCCUUGGCCAUAAAAGGAGCAAUCCGCUCGAUGACGGGACCGCGUCCCAUUAGCUAGAUGGUGGGGUAACGGCCUACCAUGGCACCGAUGGGUAGCUGGUUUGAGAGAGCGACCAGCCACACUGGGACUGAGAAACGGCCCAGACUCCUACGGGAGGCAGCAGUGAGGAAUUUUCCGCAAUGGGCGCAAGCCUGACGGAGCGACGCCGCGUGUGGGAAGAAGGCCUUCGGGUCGUAAACCACUGUCGAAGGGACGAUAAUGACGGUACCUUGGAGGAAGCCCGGCUAACGUACGUGCCAGCAGCCGC
rnacentral:rRNA from 1 species